GUUCCCUGCAGUGCUGUGUGACUGCAGCUCAGAGGAGAUGCUGCUAUGAGUCAAGACCACCUGUGCAAAACAGCCCUAACGUACAGUUUCCUGAGUUAGAAGGAAAAAUCUACAUGCCAAG
rnacentral:lncRNA from 12 species